rnacentral:rRNA from 1 species
GCGUGAGUGAUGACGGCCUUAGGGUUGUAAAGCUCUUUCGCCUGUGACGAUGAUGACGGUAACAGGAGAAGAAGCCCCGGCUAACUUCGUGCCAGCAGCCGCGGUAAUACGAAGGGGGCUAGCGUUGUUCGGAAUUACUGGGCGUAAAGCGCACGUAGGCGGCUUGCCAAGUUGGAGGUGAAAUCCCGAGGCUCAACCUCGGAACUGCCUUCAAAACUGGCAGGCUUGAGUUUGGAAGAGGUGAGUGGAAUUCCCAGUGUAGAGGUGAAAUUCGU